rnacentral:tRNA from 1 species
GGGGAUGUAGCUCAAUUGGGAGAGCAUCUGCCUUGCAAGCAGAAGGUUGUGGGUUCGAAACCCAUCAUCUCCACCA